rnacentral:rRNA from 1 species
AUGUUGACCUCGGAUCAGGUAGGAAUACCCGCUGAACUUAAGCAUAUCAAAA